GCUUAACACAUGCAAGUCGAACGGAAAGGCCCUUCGGGGUACUCGAGUGGCGAACGGGUGAGUAACACGUGGGCA
rnacentral:rRNA from 1 species